GGUGUGUAGCUCUGUGGUACAGUGCUUGCCUAGUAUGUUUGAGAUCCUGGAUUUGAUUCCCAGCACUACCA
rnacentral:tRNA from 1 species